GUACUCUUGCAAUCGUGGCUGAUGCAGGCAGCAUCCUUCUGCAGAAGUAAAUUGCCUUGCCGAGAAAACUUUUUGUCUGAGUGCAGGUUCUUCUUUGUGGCACCGAGCAUUUGUUUCCAACACCAGGAAGCCAGCCCGCCAUCUACACUAACCAACCUAGGAAGCCAGCCUGCUGUCUACAGUGAUCAGCCCAGGAGCCUGCCUGCUACGUACCAAUCAGUCUGUUAUGGAACAAUCCGAAUGACUGAAUCACAGCACCACAGUAAUGAUUCUGCAACACUGAACUUGACUGUCCCAAGGAAAUCACAACUGCCAUCUCAAGAAAGCCUGUCUGCAGCAACCAUUCCAUGGUCCUCAAAGUCGUGGCCACCGGAGAGGCUGGUUUCAAUUCGCCCCCAACUCCGGCUGGAGAGAGUUGAGGAGGAAGGCAGCGGCCUGGGCUGAGUGGGAAAUGCCUGCACUGGAGGGUUGGUGGCCCCCAUGCUGGAUGGAGGCAGGAACGGGAGGCUCCUGGAAUUGUCCUCUCUUCUGCCAGAGAGGGGAGGCGGGCCGUCACUGUGCAGAAGCCCAGCCAGCACCGAGAAGGAAGUGGGUGCCUGUGGGACCCUCGCCUCUCUGCGGAGGGGCCUGUGGAAAUGCAGCCUGUGCCCUGGGCCAGCCCUGCUCCUAGGAGGGUCCUGCUGCCUCAUUUGCUCUCUCUCCCUCCUUCUCCUCUCCACUCCCACCUUUUUUUCUAGGAACUUUGAACCCUCGUUUUCACCCAGUCCCAUCGAGAAGCCAAGUGCUCCCUCCUCAGGCCAGAGCUCCCAGCUGCAGACACAGGUUCAGCCCCCAGCUGAGCGAGGAGCGGCUUCCAUGCCGGGGCCUGCCUCUCUGCCGCUCUCCACCGGUCCUUCGCAGCCGCUCCGAUGCUCUCCACGGGUCCUUUGCAGCCGCGUCCUGGCCCUGAGGCGGUGACACAGAAGCCCACGUCCGUUUCCUUUCUGCUUGCCUGUUUGUAGGGUUUUUUCUUUCUUAGUUUUGGAAUCUGAGUGGAAGGGCACAUGCUGUGGAUCAUAUUCUCCUUCUAGUCUCUCGGUUGCUCACGUGGGAAGAGAACCCCAGCGGGAGUGAUUCAGGAGGCGGGCGCUGCCACGUCCUGACUGCAGAGAACCUCCUGGAGAAACAGAAGCCAUGGGUCCUGAUGCCCGAGCCGGCGACGACUCUGAGCACACUGUGAGCAGAGAACCUCCUGGAGAAACAGAGGCCAUGGGUCCUGACGCCUGAGCCAGCAACUUACUCUGAGCACACUGUGAAGGGCGGCUGUGAAUUUUUCUUCUUUCUCAAACAACGAUGCAAUCAUUGGGAUCACUUGUCCUCCUGGGAUGGGUUUGUGUGAGACUGAUGUCUUCCGAAAAACACAGCCCCAAGGGAGUCGAGACGAUGUACCAGGUAGAAUAAGGCACAGGGGAGCCGCUUGACAAAUCAGACGACGGCAGCCGGCCUGCCUGCCCGGGUGAUGCCAGCGAGUUGUGUUUCUGAGAGACGAAGGAAGCCUUCCUUCCAGGUUUCCACGUGGAGCAGUGCCUCUCUGCGUGGUUCCUGGCAGCAGGGGAUGCCAGGCUGCAGUGGCAGAAUGUUGAGCUGCAUGGCCGGCUUCCACUCAUGCGAAGCCAGCAGCAACCCCCUCCUCAGGGGUGACAACCAGAGUGUCCUCCAGACACUGCCAGAUGUCCCCUGGGGGGAACUGUCUUUGGCUGAGAAUCACUGCUUUAGACGGAUGAUGAUCGUUUAAAUGGACAGUGCUGUUCCUGGCUCCAAGCAGUCAGUUCCCUCCCUCCCUGUUUACUUACAAAACAGCCGCAUCCCCGGGAUUACGAGUGAGCCAGCGGAGGUGUGACCAAAGAGAUGUCACAGUUCGCUUUUCUUUGUGAUCAAUACGUGGAAUGAUUUAGGGGCCUGUGUUAAAAUUACAAAUCUUCUAUAGAAGAUUUUGGCAGCAAAAUAUUUUAAAAGCCUACGAAAUAAACAGAGAUGGCACAUUCAGAGGCUCCAAAUCACAGAGCAAGGAACUGCAUCCACAGUAGCUUUUGCCUUCCUCCUCUGCCGCUGUUUUGACUCAUUGAUCUUUGGGUCUGGUGGAUUUUUUGUGUUGGGGAGAGAAGAGGGAAGAGGCAGGAGGGCCAUUCUCAUGGCAAGCUGAGGUCUCAGGGGCCGGGCUGGGAGUUAGGGGGCGCUGGGGUCCCACCCAGGUGGCAGGGCCAGGCAGGUCAUGGCACCUGCUAUGGUCGUGCUGAAGUCCUGGAGGCAACAACCAUUGUUACUUCUAAACGAUACCAAGAGGGAAAGAACACAUCCCUUCAACUUUUCCUUAAGGAGAUCUGUAAGGCAGGUUGGAAGAAUUUGAAGUCCUUCUGCCUUCGCAUGAACAAAAAUGUGAAGGGGGUUUUUAAAACUCAGAUUUGAUCUUUACAGUAACCAGAUGGAUUUUAUUUCAACAUGCCAGAGUUUCCACAUCACGUCACCACUGCACUUCAACGUGCUGUUCUUGAGGCUGUUUAAAGUUCAGCCUUGGCACCUGACAUGGCGCAUCUGUUUUAACUCCAGGCGUGGGGGCUCCUGGGGAAACGACGACUUCUGAUGCCUGACCACCCCCAGGCUGACGCCCUCCCUCCUGCCCAGGGCUGAGGCUGGACCCAGGGCACCUCCUUCGAAUGGCCUCUCUCUUCCUCCCUAACACAGAGC
ensembl:lncRNA LINC01164 long intergenic non-protein coding RNA 1164